CGCGCGACGAUGACGCGCCUCCGCUGUCCAUCGGUGCGGACGGUAGCUUUGCGCGCGGGUAUUCGACGCGGUCCUUCGUCCGGCGUCUCCGUACGUCGGACGGCGCUCGCGUCGACGCCGGUCAGCGACGAAUCUUCGGGCCUCUUUCCGACCCGUCUUGAAACACGGACCAAGGAGUCUAGCGUGCGCGCGAGUCGCGGGGUAUCCGAGUCGUCGUAGUCGUUUGCGCGGCGAACGCGACUCGUCACGAUACGAAACCCGUUUACGUACGUUGUGCGAAGGCGUAAUGAAAGUGAAAGGCGGCGCCUCGUGCGUCGCCGGGGGAAGACGGUGUUCCGAGUUCACGUUUCGCAGACGCACGUGUUCUGCGGCCGGACACCCGCAUUCCCAGGGCGUCCCGCUCGUACGUCGGCGGCCGGAGUUCGCUUCGGUCGUCGGCGAACUGGGGCGCACCUACAGCGUGCACGCUGGUACCCGAAAGAUGGUGAACUAUGCCCGGCCAGGAUGAAGUCAGG
rnacentral:rRNA from 1 species